rnacentral:lncRNA from 1 species
GUUUAUUAUCUGCCCUUCCUUUCCAACUAUAUGUGCUCUUAGGGUGACUUGACUUAGUUGGUGUUAGGAAUUUGGACUGAUCUACAUCUAAGAGUGAAAAAAAGAAAACAGCUAUCUGUCCACUAAAGAUAUGUUUCUAGUUGCCCUGGCAACCAACAAUUGGGCGUAGUUAACUAUUUACAGUUUCCAAAGUGAUUACAAAUGGGUCUCACCUAGCCUCGCCCAUUACCUGUUGGCACUGGAAUGCCCUCUUCAGUCUUGGGAAAGAAGUGACAAAGAGAGAUUCGAAGAAUAUUUGCAGGGGAACAGGACUCCAUCUGACUAAGAAGCCGUGUGCAGCAAGGUGUCUGUAAGGUGUUGGACUUGUCUCCAGUGCCCACUGUGGCCAACAUUUUGUGAAGAGGACGAUCUAGACCCGGCAAAUAACAUGCUGAUGCUACAUUCCCUUCUAUUCCAUUGCUAUGAGAAAGUGCUCCUGACCUCCAGGAAAAUUCUUCUCUGGUGACUCUUCAUGGAGGUGACCUUAAUUUUUAGGAAUUUAAAGAAGACCUAAAGGAAGGUCUGUGUUCAAACCCCACCUACCCGUGUGACCUAGCAGUGUGGCCAUAGGCAAGUCAUUCAAUUUCUGUGAACCUGUUUCCUUAUCGGUAAGAAUGGGUAUGAUAAUACUAGUAGUACCUAUCUCAUAGAGUUGG